rnacentral:rRNA from 1 species
GACGAACGCUGGCGGCGCGCCUAAUACAUGCAAGUCGAACGGACUGCCUUCGGGCAGUUAGUGGCGGACGGGUGAGUAACACGUGGGUGACCUGCCUUGAAGUGGGGAAUAACGCUGCGAAAGCAGUGCUAAUACCGCAUACGCUUAGAAUUUCACGUUCUAAGGAAAGCCUAGAGCGCUUCAAGAGGGGCCUGCGGCCCGAUUAGCUAGUCGGUGGGGUAAUGGCCUACCGAGGCGACGAUCGGUAGCUAGUCUGAGAGGAUGACCAGCCACACUGGGACU